rnacentral:ncRNA from 1 species
UCUUAUCCAGAGUCGGCGGAGGGGACAGGCCCGAUGAAACCUCAGCAACCAUCACGGAAGUGAAAAGGUGCUAACCUGUAGCAAGGAUUGAUCCUUGAACGAUAAGA